GAGGGGCCAGCCCGGUGGCACAGCGGUUAAGUUUACACAUUUCACUUUGGCAGCCCAGGGUUGCUGCUUUGGAUCUCGAGUGUGGACCUAUGCACCACUUGUCAACCCAUGCUGUGGAAUUUUCCGUCUGGGCUAGACUGCACCCCAUCUACCUUUCCUUUUAGCCCCUCUGUGAGCUUUGCAUUCCCCAUCUUGGCCCACCAACUUCACAGAAGCAUGUGAGCUGCACAUAGGAUGAAGGAGACAGGACUAAGGGUCCUCUGGAUGCUCUCCGCAAGGCCCCUAACAGCAAUACUGUUGUGCAAGUCCCAGGGUGCUGCCCCAGGAUAAGAGUUUUCCUGGCUCCCUCAUGGCCAAGCUGGUCCCCAACAUUUAGCUAAAAACCAGAAGAAUCUGUCCCUGAACGUGGUUUUUCCGAACUACUGGUCCCUGGAACCCCACACCUGCUGUGAUCUCAGGCCACGCCCAUUAAAGGAAAAACUGUCAGGUGAGAGGCCUCCCUCGAUCGCCCUGGGUCGUCCAAGAGGGAAGCUGACAGCUGCAGGACUCACCGCUCAGCACUAGGGGGAGCAGUACGCUCGGGAACACAGUGAGGGCCACGCCCAGAAAUCGCUCAACUACCCUUGUGCCGUGUCGCCCGGAUUGGGCCGAUCCAAGCAGGAAGAGAACGCUUAAGGACAACUCCGAAAGCCCCUUGUGCGAACAAAUGAUGGGAGAAAAUUCAGGGAGCCGUGGAGAGCACACCUUCCUUCGCGCUUCAGCCUGGUCCCGGCCAAGAGAGCCCUCUCUGGCUCCAGACUGCGACUUUCAGAUCCCCUGGGGGAGGAGGCGGGUGGAGGCUUGAGGAACAGGAGGUAGGCAAGACAGGCCAGGUCACUUUUCCCAGUCACUCCAACUUCUCCAUCUAGCUCAUCCAGCAUCUUAAUAAGUCCCAGUGGGUCACAGCUAGAAGGAGUCUUAGCCCCAGAUGUUCAAACCCCGGAUAUUUAGCUGGAGGGCUGAGACGGGGAGAGGAGAAACAACUAGAGCAAGAUCUCCCAGGUCGUUUACAACAAUCCCUCAUAGAGUUUACCAGGUACUUUCAUGUCCACCAUCUCACUUGGAUGUUCACAACCACCUGGUGUUGUAGGCAGGAACUAUUGUUCCAUUUUACAAAUGAGGAGACUGAGGUUCAGUAAGUACCCUCUUCCCUACCAAGCUUUCAUUGCCACCCACUGUUCCCUCCUUUCUCUUGCUGUCCCUUUGUUUUAAAAGCGGUCCAAACUGCACACAUAACCCCAGGGAGAUUGCUACUCAACUCUGAGUAUUCCAUAAAUCAAACUUUAAAAUAUUUCUUGCAUUCCCCAUCUUCCUAACCCAUUUAGCGUAAAGAAAAGAUGAUGCAGCAUAGUAAUUAUGAGGGUGCACCUUGGAGUCAGAUCUGAGUAAAUACUCUAUGUUCAUCGCUUAGGAAUUCCACAACCAUGGGCCUCUCUAUGUCUCAAUUUCUUCAUCUUGUAAAAUGGAAAUAUUCACAUCUAUCUCCUGGGAUUCUUUUAAG
rnacentral:lncRNA from 1 species